UGAACUCGGGUCCUUGCGCUUGCACAGCAGGCGACGAAACCACUGGGCUAAAUUCCCGGCCCGUAUAAUCCUCAUAUUAUGGGACACAAAUAAUUUGGGAAAUAAGAUCACCAUGACCACAUGACUCCCAUCGUGUCUUCUGAAUUAGCAUAGAUGAUAAAUUUAUUUCUACAAAGUUUUAGGGUUCAAACCACUUGUUGAUUGGUUGCAAGUUGGUGAUUGCCCAAUGCAUCUGUAACAAGAAUACUCCAUUCUUCACCCACGGUACACACAGGGUUACAAUGAGUCCCAAGAAGGAAUUUGCCUGAGUACUUCAUAAAACAUCUAUGUAAAACAAAUCAUAAACCCAGGAAGGAAAAUAUUAGGAUCUUCCUCAUAUGUUCACAGUGUGCAAAGAAACUUCCAUAUGUUGGCGUUCAUAGCACUUUUAUCCAAAAUUGCCACAGACUGGGAAUGAUCCAGAUAUUCUUUAGUGGUGAAUGGUUGAACAAACCGGUACAUCUGUACCAUGGACUAUAACUAUUGACUAUAUUCAGCAAUAUCGAUGAACCUCAAGGAAAUUGUACUGAAUAAAAAAGCUAAUCUCCAAAAGGUA